rnacentral:rRNA from 1 species
CCUACGGGGGGCUGCAGUAACGAAUCUUCCGCAAUGCGCGAAAGCGUGACGGGGCAAUGCCGCGUGCAGGACGAAGCCCUUCGGGGUGUAAACUGCUGUCAGGGUGCAGCCCAUACCCAAAGGAAGCACCGGCUAACUCUGUGCCAGCAGCCGCGGUAAUACAGAGGGUGCAAGCGUUAAUCGGAAUCACUGGGCUUAAAGCGUUCGUAGGCGGAUCUGUAGGCGCGUUGUGAAAGCCCUCGGCUCAACCGGGGAAUGCUUCGCGAACCACAGAUCUUGAGUCAAGUAGGGGCGAUCGGAACGAUAGGUGGAGCGGUGAAAUGCGUAGAUAUCUAUCGGAACGCCGAAGGUGAAGACAGGUCGCUGGCUGUACUGACGCUGAGGAACGAAAGCGUGGGGAGCAAACGGGAUUAGAUACCCUGGUAGUC